AUACGGAGGAUCCGAGCGUUAUCCGGAUUUAUUGGGUUUAAAGGGUGCGCAGGCGGGAUGUUAAGUCGGCGGUGAAAUUUUCCGGCUCAACCGGGAUACUGCCGUUGAUACUGUAAGGCUAGGAUAUGGUUGCUGUGGGUGGAAUGUGUGGUGUAGCGGUGAAAUGCUUAGAUAUCACGAGGAACUCCGAUUGCGCAGGCAGCUUACUAAACCACUACUGACGCUCAUGCACGAAGGCGUGGGGAUC
rnacentral:rRNA from 1 species